rnacentral:lncRNA from 1 species
CCACUUGGAAGGGUGGGCAAUAGCACACAAAAAUAUUGUAAUUGGGCGGAAUUAUAGUUUUUUGGCCGAGAAACGCAACAAAUGAGGAAUGAUCAUGGCUGGGCGGUGACUAUGGUUCCUUAGGUCGUAUUUGAUGGCCCAGAAAAAUUUUAGGCGAUCGGGGUCCCGGGGGUCCCGGGACCACUUGGAAGGUGUGGGCUAUAUAGCACACGAAAAUAUGCGAAUCACGCGAAAUUCUAGUUUUUUGGCCGUAAAAUGCAAAACAUGAGGAAAGGUCAUGGCGGGGCGGUGACUAUGGUUCCUUAGGUCUUAUUUUAUGGCCCGAAAAAAUUAAAACGCAAAACAAAGUGGAACGGUCAUGGUAGGGCGGUAUCUAUGGUUCUCAAGGUCGUAUUUGAUGGCUCGAAAAUUUUUUAAGCAAUCCGCGUCCGGGGAUCCUGGCCCACUCGUAAUGUGUGGGCUAUAGCACACGCAAAUAUGGGAAUCGGACGGAAUUCN